rnacentral:rRNA from 1 species
AGAGUUUGAUCCUGGCUCAGAUUGAACGCUGGCGGCAUGCUUUACACAUGCAAGUCGAACGGCAACGAGGAGAAGCUUGCUUCUCUGUCGGCGAGUGGCGAACGGGUGAGUAUAGCAUCGGAACGUGCCAAGUAGUGGGGGAUAACCAAACGAAAGUUUGGCUAAUACCGCGUAAGCUCCAAGGAGGAAAGUAGGGGACCUGAUAAGGCCUUACGCUAUUUGAUCGGCCGAUGUCGGAUUAGCUAGUUGGUGGGGUAAUGGCUCACCAAGGCAAUGAUCCGUAGCGGGUCUGAGAGGACGAUCCGCCACACUGGGACUGAGACACGGCCCAGACUCCUACGGGAGGCAGCAGUGGGGAAUUUUGGACAAUGGGGGAAACCCUGAUCCAGCCAUGCCGCGUGUAUGAAGAAGGCCUUAGGGUUGUAAAGUACUUUUGUUAGGGAAGAAAAGCUAGUUUUUAAUAAAAAUUAAUGAUGACGGUACCUAAAGAAUAAGCACCGGCUAACUACGUGCCAGCAGCCGCGGU